ensembl:lncRNA
GCGCCCCAGCCGGCCUCGCCCUCCCGGGGGGCUCCCCUCGCCGCGUCUCCUGCCGAGCGCCCCGAAGCCCCUUGCCCCGGGUGGGAGCGGGGGGCUCGCCUUUCCUACCUGGAUCCGCUUCUUGUGUCUCCUGCGUUCCGCCAUGUUGGCCGCUCCGCCCGGUUCCCUCUGACGUGGAGCGAGGAGGGGGGCGGUGGAAACCUCGCGAGAGCGCGCGUGGGCCCGUUAUGUAAUCUGGCGGCGGGCGGGCGGGGAGGGGGCCCGCGAGAGCGGGGGCCGCGCGGCCUCGUUGGCUCCGCGCUUCUCCUCCCCGCUCGUCUCCGCGGGUUGCGGGAACUGGAACUCCCCCUGGGACCAGAAGGAGACUGAGGCGCGGUCCGGAGAGCGGGGGGGCGCGGACGGAGGCCCUGCGGCGCGGCCCGGCCGAGCACCUGCGCCUGCACCUGCAUCACCUGGGCGGUCGCUGGAGAUGCGGGUUCCCGCCCCGCCCCCGCUCGGCGCGGAGGGACGGCGCUGGCUCCUCCAGGUCUGCGCCGCGGGGGGCCUGGCGGGGCCCGGGCCUGGACCCAUCGUCCCGCCCCGUGCGGAGCACCGGGUGCGGCAGCUCCUCGAAAACAAAACGUUUGGAUUCUCCAUCCCGUCUUCUAUCUUGUUUCUCAAAAUCCGAGACGCAGAACUCAGGGCAGGACGAGCAACUAAAACCUUGGAGGUAUCCCAACCGUGCUUCGCUGAUCAAUCACCAGCCCAACUGAUCCUGCAGCACAGAUGUUUGGAAUUCUUUCCUUCUUCAUCAUUCCUACUUGCCGGCUCCCUGGCAGCUCUUCAGCAGGGCUCACCUGGACUGUUGGCGAGAGCCUCCCGCUCAUUGGCGCCCAACUCCAGGCCCAACUCCAAGGCAAUCUUCCACUCCCCCACCCCAGGGGCCCCCCCAGUUGUGAGCCACACAGGCGCCCCAUUAUUUUAUUAUUUCAAAUACAAAUGGAUUUCAUGGACUUCCAUAAGGAGGCAUGUAAUACCUGGUUGUUUCUUUUUUUCUGAUGUUAGCAGCCAUUCAUGAUCAUCAUCUAGAUUCUCUUUCAGGGAUGUAAAACAGUGAUAUUCAAAUUCUUCUUUUGCUUUUUAAUAGCUGUAAUGCUUCCACAGGGGAAACAGUUGCAUAGUUGUAUGGAUGUUUAGCUCAUGAGAGCUAAUGUUCACACGUGUAAGCCAAAUUUCAAAUUUAUCCUAGUUAAUAUUUGCAUAAAAACAGUUCAAACCCUCUUCCCAGCACUCCAUUUAUAUACUGGAUGGCGGGGGCAGAGAGUUUCUCCUAUCCACUUCUUGGUCUGCUUUCCCUUUGUUUUUUUUUUUUUUUUUAAUUAAUUUUUAUUGGUGUUCAAUUUACCAACAUACAGAAAAACACCCAGUGCUCAUCCCGUCAAGUGUCCACCUCAGUGCCCGUCACCCAUUCCCCUCUAACACCCGCCCUCCUCCCCUUCCACCACCCCUAGUUCGUUUCCCAGAGUUAGGAGUCUUUAUGUUCUGUCUCCCUUCCUGAUAUUUCCCAACAUUUCUUUUCCCUUCCUUUAUAUUCCCUUUCACUAUUAUUUAUAUUCCCCAAAUGAAUGAGAACAUACACUGUUUGUCCUUCUCCGAUUGACUUAUUUCACUCAGCAUAAUACCCUCCAGUUCCAUCCACGUUGAAGCAAAUGGUGGGUAUUUGUCGUUUCUAAUGGCUGAGGAAUAUUCCAUUGUAUACAUAAACCACAUCUUCUUUAUCCAUUCAUCUUUCGAUGGACACCUUUCCCUUUGAAUUUACAGUCUCACUCCUGUCGUUUGGCUCCUCUUUCUUUUCUUUUCUUUCUUUCUUUUUUUUUUUUUGGCUCUUCUAUCUUUCCCCAAGGAGGAGCAUUGCCUCUUUCCCUGUCUUUUGCCAAAGCAAAAGUUUUCUUUGCCCCUGGGUUCUGUCAUUUCUUCUCCCUGGUGCUUCCUCUGAAAGUUGGAUUUCUCUUGCUUCACACAAGAGAGAAGCUGAGGUGAUCUUCACUCUUGACUGGAUUCCUUUGGACGUAUAGAUA